rnacentral:rRNA from 1 species
UAAGACAGAGGUGGCGAGCGUUGUUCGGAAUUACUGGGCUUAAAGGGCGAGUAGGCGUCCCGACAAGUUAGGUGUGGAAUCUUUUCGCCUAACGAAAAAAUUGCAUCUAAAACUGUUGGGAUUGAGUCAGUGAGGGGAGGGCGGAAUUCCUGGUGUAGCGGUGAAAUGCGUAGAUAUCAGGAGGAAGGCCUGUGGCGAAGGCGGCCCUCUGGCACUGUACUGACGCUGAGGCGCGAAAGCGUGGGUAGCAAACAGGAUUAGAUACCCUGGUAGUCCACGCCCUAAACGGUGGGCAUUAGGUGUAGGGCUCGUAAGGGUUCUGUGCCGAAGGGAAACCAUUAAAUGCCCCGCCUGGGGAUUACGGCCGCAAGGUUGAAACUUAAAUGAAUUGACGG